GACGAACGCUGGCGGCGUGCCUAAUACAUGCAAGUAGAACGCUGAAGCGCGGCGCUUGCUCUUCUCGGAUGAGUUGCGAACGGGUGAGUAACGCGUAGUUAACCUGCCUUGUCGCGGGGGAUAACUAUUGGAAACGCUAGCUAAUACCGCAUAACAAUAGGUGACACAUGUCUUUUAUUUGAAUGGGGCAAUUGCUCCACUACAAGAUGGACCUGCGUUGUAUUAGCUAGUAGGUGAGGUAACGGCUCACCUAGGCGACGAUACAAAGCCGACCUGAGAGGGGGAACGGGCACACUGGGACUGAGACACGGCCCAGACUCCUACGGGAGGCAGCAGUAGGGAAGCGUCGGCAAUGGGGGCAACCCUGACCGAGCAACGCCGGGUGAAUGAAGAAGGUUUUCGGGUCGGAAAGAGCUGUUGUAAGUCAAGAACGAGUGUGAGAGGGGAAAGGUCACACUGUGACGGUAGCUUACCAGAAAGGGACGGCUAACUACGUG
rnacentral:rRNA from 1 species